GACGAACGCUGGCGGCGUGCUUAACACAUGCAAGUCGAACGGGCCUUGUCCCCUUUUUUUUGGGGGUGGGGUUAGUGGCGAACGGGUGAGUAACACGUGAGUAACCUGCCCCUCACUUCUGGAUAACCGCUUGAAAGGGUGGCUAAUACGGGGUGUUCUGGCCUGCUCGCAUGGGUGGGUUUGGAAAGAUUCGACCGGUUUUGGUUGUUUUGGUGGGGGAUGGGCUCGCGGCCUAUCAGAUUGUUGGUGGGGUGAUGGCCUGCCAAGGCUUUGACGGGUAGCCGGCCUGAGAGGGUGGGCGGUCACACUGGGACUGAGACACGGCCCAGACUCCUACGGGAGGCAGCAGUGGGGAAUAUUGCACAAUGGGCGCAAGCCUGAUGCAGCGACGCCGCGUGAGGGAUGGAGGCCUUCGGGUUGUGAACCUCUUUCGCCAGUGAAGAAGGUCCUGCUCUUUGUGGUGGGGUUGACGGUAGCUGGGUUAAUGAAGCGCCGGCUAACUACGUG
rnacentral:rRNA from 1 species